CUUCCUGAAGCUUUAAUUAUUUAUCCUUGGAGAGAAUUUGACAGUUACAAGUAGUCACGACUCAGCAGAUUAACCCUACAAGCGCCAGAACCUAUUUCCAUAUCAAGUAGACUCAAAUGUGUCAUGGAAUCAAAUGUUAAUUUUGAGGUAAUAUGACUCCCAAUUAACAUGAAAAAGUAGGUGGGCCUAAAUAAAACAUAUUUUUAAAUCUAGUACUGUCUUUAAUGAAGUUAAAAUUGAUUUAAUAUUCUUGCUAAUUUUAACAGGUAAUCUUUAAAGACGGAAGGUGUAAUAAGCGGCAAAGAGUGAUAUUGGCAUUCUGCAAUGAAAAUGCAUUUUCAGGAGAUGAUGGUCAAGUAAUGGGGAAAAUAAGGUUUUCACCGCUGCGGAUUAAGAAGCUGAUCAUUCAUGAUUAAUCUUCGCUGAUUUUAAGCACUAAUAUUUCCACCAGUGUGGUUUUCCGGAGGAAUAACUUGCAAAGCUGCGGAUAAUGCUCCCAUGUGCUGGCGGGGCCCACCCUUAGCAAUAAGGUUGCCACGGAAACAGCAAAACUGUGCUCGCGGGAGAGAGAUGGGGUGAGAACGAAAGGGAGAUGAGGGAAAUUUGCAGCAAUUUUUCACUGAAAUAACUAGAAUUUGUUAAAAUGGUGUUAAAGCGCACUUUUUUUUGCAAGGGAAGGGCUACAGUCCUGGCGGGGAGGGGAGGAGAAAACACUGUCCUAUGUUUUCUUUGCAUAGGAUAGUAAUGCCGUAUUAGCUUUAUAGGCACUGAGGUCUGACUUUGGGUACUUGGGUUGGGGACAGCAGAAUCUGAACUAAAGGAUGAGCAUUCAGUCCUGUUAUUAUCGUUAUUACCACUUCUUAAACACGCAAACCUCACAACAACCAGGAUGCUUUGGAACUGUGUUCCUGGUUAUUUGAAUCCCAUGCACAAAAACCGACCGAGCAGGUUUUUACUCAGGCUGUUUCAGUUUGUCAGUGGCAAACCACUCAUACUGCUGCAACUUGACUGAUAAAAGCAGGAAUUUAAAUCUGAUCCCCUCUCCCUCCAAAAAGGUAUCAAGGCCUGAAACCGAACACUGUGUGCAGGUGUAUCAGAGGAAGAGGAAGACAGAAUACGAUACAUCAAGCUGCAGAGGUAGUUACAGUGCAGAAGGAAAAAAAGGGGGCAGCUAAGGAUAAGCCUUUGAGAGCUACGCGGAGAGGAAAAAGGAAGAACUGUCACAGGAGACACUAAAUGAGUCA
rnacentral:lncRNA from 1 species